UACAGAGGGUGCGAGCGUUGUCCGGAAUCACUGGGCGUAAAGGGCGCGUAGGUGGCGCUGCAAGUCGGUGGUGAAAGCUCGACGCUUAACGUCGAGUCGGCCAUCGAAACUGCAGGGCUCGAGCACUGUAGGGGCAGAUGGAAUUCCGGGUGUAGCGGUGGAAUGCGUAGAGAUCCGGAAGAACACCGGUGGCGAAGGCGGUCUGCUGGGCAGUAGCUGACACUGAUGCGCGACAGCGUGGGGAGCGAACAGG
rnacentral:rRNA from 1 species